rnacentral:rRNA from 1 species
UACGUAGGGUGCGAGCGUUAAUCGGAAUUACUGGGCGUAAGGUGUGCGCAGGUGGCUGAGCAAGUCGAGUGUGAAAGCCCCGGGCUUAACCUGGGAAUUGCGCUCGAAACUACUUGGCUGGAGUGUGGCAGAGGGAGGUGGAAUUCCACGUGUAGCGGUGAAAUGCGUAGAGAUGUGGAGGAACACCAAUGGCGAAGGCAGCCUCCUGGGCCAACACUGACACUCAUGCACGAAAGCGUGGGGAGCAAACAGG